CUUGGUCAUUUAGAGGAAGUAAAAGUCGUAACAAGGUUUCCGUAGGUGAACCUGCGGAAGGAUCAUUACAAGUGAGGCUACCGAACGUUGGAAACAGCGGUUAGGAGCUUACACCCACCCGUGUUUACAUACUAUUGUUGCUUUGGCGGGCCGUGGCCUCCACUGCGGGCUCUGCUCGUGUGUGCCCGCCAGAAAACCAAACUCUGAAUGUUAGUGAUGUCUGAGUACUAUCUAAUAGUUAAAACUUUCAACAACGGAUCUCUUGGUUCUGGCAUCGGUGAAGAACGCAGCGAAAUGCGAUAAGUAAUGUGAAUUGCAGAAUUCAGUGAAUCAUCGAAUCUUUGAACGCACAUUGCGCCCUGUGGUAUUCCGCAGGGCAUGCCUGUUCGAGCGUCAUUUAACCACUCACGCCUAGCGUGGUAUUGGGGCACGCGGUCUCCGCGGCCCUCAAAAUUAGUGGCGGCGCCGGUGGGCUCUAAGCGUAGUACAUACUCCCGCUAUAGAGUUCCCCCCGGUGGCUCGCCAGAACCCCCAAUUUUUUACAGGUUGACCUCGGAUCAGGUAGGGAUACCCGCUGAACUUAAGCAUAUCAAUAAGCGGAGGA
rnacentral:rRNA from 1 species